rnacentral:rRNA from 1 species
AAAUUGAAGAGUUUGAUCAUGGCUCAGAUUGAACGCUGGCGGCAGGCCUAACACAUGCAAGUCGAACGGUAACAGGAAGCAGCUUGCUGUUUUGCUGACGAGUGGCGGACGGGUGAGUAAUGUCUGGGAAACUGCCUGAUGGAGGGGGAUAACUACUGGAAACGGUAGCUAAUACCGCAUAACGUCGCAAGACCAAAGAGGGGGACCUUAGGGCCUCUUGCCAUCGGAUGUGCCCAGAUGGGAUUAGCUAGUAGGUGGGGUAA